AGUGAACGCUGGCGGUAGGCCUAACACAUGCAAGUCGAACGGCAGCACAGUAAGAGCUUGCUCUUACGGGUGGCGAGUGGCGGACGGGUGAGGAAUACAUCGGAAUCUACUUUUUCGUGGGGGAUAACGUAGGGAAACUUACGCUAAUACCGCAUACGACCUACGGGUGAAAGCAGGGGAUCUUCGGACCUUGCGCGAUUGAAUGAGCCGAUGUCGGAUUAGCUAGUUGGCGGGGUAAAGGCCCACCAAGGCGACGAUCCGUAGCUGGUCUGAGAGGAUGAUCAGCCACACUGGAACUGAGACACGGUCCAGACUCCUACGGGAGGCAGCAGUGGGGAAUAUUGGACAAUGGGCGCAAGCCUGAUCCAGCCAUACCGCGUGGGUGAAGAAGGCCUUCGGGUUGUAAAGCCCUUUUGUUGGGAAAGAAAAGCAGCAGGUUAAUACCCCGCUGUUCUGACGGUACCAAAAGAAUAAGCACCGGCUAACUUCG
rnacentral:rRNA from 1 species